AAUGUAAUGUGCUGUAAGACACA
rnacentral:siRNA from 1 species